rnacentral:rRNA from 1 species
GAUGAACGCUGGCGGCGUGCCUAAUACAUGCAAGUCGAGCGAACAGAUAAGGAGCUUGCUCCUUUGACGUUAGCGGCGGACGGGUGAGUAACACGUGGGUAACCUACCUAUAAGACUGGAAUAACUCCGGGAAGCCGGGGCUAAUGCAGGAUAACAUGUUGAACCGCAUGGUUCUACAGUGAAAGGCGGCUUUGCUGUCACUUAUAGAUGGACCCGCGCCGUAUUAGCUAGUUGGUGAGGUAACGGCUCACCAAGGCAACGAUACGUAGCCGACCUGAGAGGGUGAUCGGCCACACUGGAACUGAGACACGGUCCAGACUCCUACGGGAGGCAGCAGUAGGGAAUCUUCCGCAAUGGGCGAAAGCCUGACGGAGCAACGCCGCGUGAGUGAUGAAGGUCUUCGGAUCGUAAAACUCUGUUAUUAGGGAAGAACAAAUGCGUAAGUAACUGUGCGCGUCUUGACGGUACCUAAGCAGAAAGCCACGGCUAACUACG